rnacentral:tRNA from 1 species
GGCUCCGUAGCUCAGUCGGUAGAGCAUUUGACUCUUAAUCAAAGCGUCCUCGGUUCGAGCCCGAGCGGAGUCACCA